rnacentral:rRNA from 2 species
GGGUUGUGAGGUUAAGCGAAUAAGCGUACACGGUGGAUGCCCUGGCAGUCAGAGGCGAUGAAGGACGUGCUAAUCUGCGAUAAGCGUCGGUAAGGUGAUAUGAACCGUUAUAACCGGCGAUUUCCGAAUGGGGAAACCCAGUGUGAUUCGUCACACUAUCAUUAACUGAAUCCAUAGGUUAAUGAGGCGAACCGGGGGAACUGAAACAUCUAAGUACCCCGAGGAAAAGAAAUCAACCGAGAUUCCCCCAGUAGCGGCGAGCGAACGGGGAGGAGCCCAGAGCCUGAAUCAGUGUGUGUGUUAGUGGAAGCGUCUGGAAAGGCGCGCGAUACAGGGUGACAGCCCCGUACACAAAAAUGCACAUGCUGUGAGCUCGAUGAGUAGGGCGGGACACGUGGUAUCCUGUCUGAAUAUGGGGGGACCAUCCUCCAAGGCUAAAUACUCCUGACUGACCGAUAGUGAACCAGUACCGUGAGGGAAAGGCGAAAAGAACCCCGGCGAGGGGAGUGAAAAAGAACCUGAAACCGUGUACGUACAAGCAGUGGGAGCACAGAGCAAUCUGUGUGACUGCGUACCUUUUGUAUAAUGGGUCAGCGACUUAUAUUCUGUAGCAAGGUUAACCGAAUAGGGGAGCCGAAGGGAAACCGAGUCUUAACUGGGCGUUAAGUUGCAGGGUAUAGACCCGAAACCCGGUGAUCUAGCCAUGGGCAGGUUGAAGGUUGGGUAACACUAACUGGAGGACCGAACCGACUAAUGUUGAAAAAUUAGCGGAUGACUUGUGGCUGGGGGUGAAAGGCCAAUCAAACCGGGAGAUAGCUGGUUCUCCCCGAAAGCUAUUUAGGUAGCGCCUCGUGAAUUCAUCUCCGGGGGUAGAGCACUGUUUCGGCAAGGGGGUCAUCCCGACUUACCAACCCGAUGCAAACUGCGAAUACCGGAGAAUGUUAUCACGGGAGACACACGGCGGGUGCUAACGUCCGUCGUGAAGAGGGAAACAACCCAGACCGCCAGCUAAGGUCCCAAAGUCAUGGUUAAGUGGGAAACGAUGUGGGAAGGCCCAGACAGCCAGGAUGUUGGCUUAGAAGCAGCCAUCAUUUAAAGAAAGCGUAAUAGCUCACUGGUCGAGUCGGCCUGCGCGGAAGAUGUAACGGGGCUAAACCAUGCACCGAAGCUGCGGCAGCGACGCUGAUGCGUUGUUGGGUAGGGGAGCGUUCUGUAAGCCUGUGAAGGUGUGCUGUGAGGCAUGCUGGAGGUAUCAGAAGUGCGAAUGCUGACAUAAGUAACGAUAAAGCGGGUGAAAAGCCCGCUCGCCGGAAGACCAAGGGUUCCUGUCCAACGUUAAUCGGGGCAGGGUGAGUCGACCCCUAAGGCGAGGCCGAAAGGCGUAGUCGAUGGGAAACAGGUUAAUAUUCCUGUACUUGGUGUUACUGCGAAGGGGGGACGGAGAAGGCUAUGUUGGCCGGGCGACGGUUGUCCCGGUUUAAGCGUGUAGGCUGGUUUUCCAGGCAAAUCCGGAAAACUAAGGCUGAGGCGUGAUGACGAGGCACUACGGUGCUGAAGCAACAAAUGCCCUGCUUCCAGGAAAAGCCUCUAAGCAUCAGGUAACAUCAAAUCGUACCCCAAACCGACACAGGUGGUCAGGUAGAGAAUACCAAGGCGCUUGAGAGAACUCGGGUGAAGGAACUAGGCAAAAUGGUGCCGUAACUUCGGGAGAAGGCACGCUGAUAUGUAGGUGAAGUCCCUCGCGGAUGGAGCUGAAAUCAGUCGAAGAUACCAGCUGGCUGCAACUGUUUAUUAAAAACACAGCACUGUGCAAACACGAAAGUGGACGUAUACGGUGUGACGCCUGCCCGGUGCCGGAAGGUUAAUUGAUGGGGUCAGCGCAAGCGAAGCUCUUGAUCGAAGCCCCGGUAAACGGCGGCCGUAACUAUAACGGUCCUAAGGUAGCGAAAUUCCUUGUCGGGUAAGUUCCGACCUGCACGAAUGGCGUAAUGAUGGCCAGGCUGUCUCCACCCGAGACUCAGUGAAAUUGAACUCGCUGUGAAGAUGCAGUGUACCCGCGGCAAGACGGAAAGACCCCGUGAACCUUUACUAUAGCUUGACACUGAACAUUGAGCCUUGAUGUGUAGGAUAGGUGGGAGGCUUUGAAGUGUGGACGCCAGUCUGCAUGGAGCCGACCUUGAAAUACCACCCUUUAAUGUUUGAUGUUCUAACGUUGACCCGUAAUCCGGGUUGCGGACAGUGUCUGGUGGGUAGUUUGACUGGGGCGGUCUCCUCCUAAAGAGUAACGGAGGAGCACGAAGGUUGGCUAAUCCUGGUCGGACAUCAGGAGGUUAGUGCAAUGGCAUAAGCCAGCUUGACUGCGAGCGUGACGGCGCGAGCAGGUGCGAAAGCAGGUCAUAGUGAUCCGGUGGUUCUGAAUGGAAGGGCCAUCGCUCAACGGAUAAAAGGUACUCCGGGGAUAACAGGCUGAUACCGCCCAAGAGUUCAUAUCGACGGCGGUGUUUGGCACCUCGAUGUCGGCUCAUCACAUCCUGGGGCUGAAGUAGGUCCCAAGGGUAUGGCUGUUCGCCAUUUAAAGUGGUACGCGAGCUGGGUUUAGAACGUCGUGAGACAGUUCGGUCCCUAUCUGCCGUGGGCGCUGGAGAACUGAGGGGGGCUGCUCCUAGUACGAGAGGACCGGAGUGGACGCAUCACUGGUGUUCGGGUUGUCAUGCCAAUGGCACUGCCCGGUAGCUAAAUGCGGAAGAGAUAAGUGCUGAAAGCAUCUAAGCACGAAACUUGCCCCGAGAUGAGUUCUCCCUGACUCCUUGAGAGUCCUGAAGGAACGUUGAAGACGACGACGUUGAUAGGCCGGGUGUGUAAGCGCAGCGAUGCGUUGAGCUAACCGGUACUAAUGAACCGUGAGGCUUAACCUUACAACGCCGAAGCUGUU